GCUAGCUUGGCCGAGCGGUCUAAGGCGGUGGUUUUAAGUCGGAUGUAUAUCCUAUAAUCUUGAACACCAUUAUCGAGAGAUGCGCAGGUUCGAACCCUGCAGCUAGCA
rnacentral:tRNA from 1 species